rnacentral:rRNA from 1 species
GUUCUACCUUGACGAAUUGUAGUUUAAAGAAGUGUUUUCUGUUAGAGGAGUAGCAAAAGUUCCUUGGAAUGGGACAUCAUAGAGGGUGAGAAUCCCGUAUUUGGUUAUUCUUUCUAGCUUUGUGAUACACUUUCAAAGAGUCGGAUUGUUUGGGAAUGCAGUCCAAAAUGGGUGGUAAAUUUCAUCUAAAGCUAAAUAUUGGCGAGAGACCGAUAGCGAACAAGUACCGUGAGGGAAAGAUGAAAAGAACUUUGAAAAGAGAGUUAAACAGUACGUGAAAUUGUCAAAAGGGAAGCGUCUGACACCAGUGUUGUUUUUCCGAAAAUCAAUUAAGAAGGACUUGAUUUUGUGUUGUAUUGACCUUAUCAGCUUUCUUCACUCUUUUUCGAGUCUUUCUU